GAGUAAAGCGGCGAAAGGGUGAGUAACACGUAACCAACCUACCCCUCAGACUGGAAUAACCAUCGGAAACGAUGGGUAAUGCCAGAUGGUCCUCGGUGUGGCAUCACGCUGAAGGUAAACGGUCUGCUGCUGAGGGAGGGGGUUGCGGGCUAUCAGCUUGUUGGUGAGGUAACGGCUCACCAAGGCUAUGACGGCUAGCGGGUCUGAGAGGACGAUCCGUCUCACUGGGACUGAGACACUGCCCAGACACCUACGGGUGGCUGCAGUCGAGAAUCUUCCGCAAUGGGCGAAAGCCUGACGGAGCGACGCCGCGUGCGGGAUGAAGGCCUUCGGGUUGUAAACCGCUGUCAGAGGGGAGCAAAUUCAGUUUACUGAUUGAGCUAUCCUCAGAGGAAGCGCAGGCUAAGUUCGUGCCAGCAGCCGCGGUAACACGAACUGCGCGAACGUUAUUCGGAAUCAUUGGGCUUAAAGAGUUCGUAGGCGGCCUGGUAAGUUGGGUGUGAAAUCCCUCGGCUCAACCGAGGAACUGCGCCCAAUACUGUCAGGCUUGAGGGAGACAGAGGUGAGUGGAACUGAUGGUGGAGCGGUGAAAUGCGUUGAUAUCAUCAGGAACACCGGUGGCGAAAGCGGCUCAGUGGGUCUCUUCUGACGCUGAGGAACGAAAGCUAGGGGAGCGAACGGGA
rnacentral:rRNA from 1 species